rnacentral:rRNA from 1 species
ACUUACCUGCGGGACCGGGAUAACAGCAGGAAACUGCUGACAAGACCGGAUAAGGUCAUUAAGCCGCAUAGCUUAGUGAUGAAAGGAGACGCCUGCGGAGAGCCUUGCGUCCUAUUAGCUAGUUGGAGGGGUAACGGCCCACCGAGGCGAAGAUAGGUAGCCGGCCUGAGAGGGUGGACGGCCACAAGGGGACUGAGAUACGGCCCUUACUCCUACGGGAGGCAGCAGUGGGGAAUAUUGGACAAUGGGGGCAACCCUGAUCCAGCAAUUCUGUGUGCACGAAGACGGUUUUCGGAUUGUAAAGUGCUUUCAGCAGGGAAGAAGUAAGUGACGGUACCUGCAGAAGAAGCGACGGCUA